CUCCCACAGGAUGCAAUUAUCUAGUAGUGGCUUGUCGUUGACACUGACGAAUUUGCUGCCCCGGGACAGGGGAGUCUACAAAAUCUUGAUGAGCAACUCCCAAGGAAAUGACAACCGGACGUUCUCCAUGGAUAUUCUGUUUCCUCCAGUCGUCUUACAUAACUCUGUGCUGAACAACACCAGACAACUUGGAGAUAAUAUCACCUUCAUGAUCUACCUGACCCAAUCCUCAAAUCCAUCCCCAAACUGGUUUGUCUUCCACAAUCACAUCCCUCUCAGCGAAACAUUAUACAGGAGUAAUUUUUCCAGAACCAAAGAUCUUUUUAUGGUAACAAGAAUUCAUUUGAAAGUGUCCGAUGGUGGCUUGUAUACAUGUGUCGUGAAUAACACCCAAGGUUCAGACAGGGUCACGUUUCGUCUAGAUGUUCAGGCACCACCCAUUGUGGACACAUUCUCAGCCUUAAACACCACCAGACUGCUCGGUGAAAAUGCCACCUUCUCCGUCACCCUGAAAUACACACCCAAUCCAAUGCCAGCUAUAGUAUGGAUGCACAAUGGAUCCCUAAUCAACACACGCUCAGACAGAACGCAAUUGUCGAGCAAUGGCUUGUCGUUGACACUGAAAAAUCUGUUACCCGCGGACGGGGGAGUUUACACCAUCUUUGUGAACAACUCUCUGGGAACUACAAAUGCAACAUUCUCCAUGGAUAUUCGGGUGCCACCAAUCGUGGACACGUUCUCAGCCGUAAACACCACCAGACUGCUAGGUGAAAAUGCCACCUUCUACGUCACCCUGAAACAUACACCAAAUCCAAUGCCAGACAUCACAUGGACUCACAAAGGAUCUCCGAUCAACACAAGCUCCCACAGGAUGCGAUUGUCCAGUAGUGGCUUGUCGUUGACACUGACGAAUUUGCUGCCUCUGGACAGGGGAGUCUACAAAAUCCUGAUGAGCAACUCCGAAGGAAGUG